GUCCAAUGCCUAUUCAUAUGUACCAAAAGUGAUAAAAUCAUCCCCUAUUUUCGAGGAUAAUAUUCAGUUGCCCAUUGUUCCACAAUUGCAAAAGGCUCCCAAGAAUAUUGCCUCUCAGAGCUGCAACAAUGUUUAAAGUAUUGGUCCCCACCAUGCUUAACAAGCAAGGCGCUCAAUUGUCGUGAUCGUUGCUUUACUUGUUAUGUCUAGGACAUGGAUCUCAGACCGCAUAGCAUCUUUGAAUGGAACUACUGUAAAAUGUGCUGGAGCAGGAUAAAAUAGCUUUUAUGAGAUUGAUCAGCAUUAGCUAGCGUUCUUCAAAGUGCUACAAAGUCUAUUGUUAUGCCCUCACUCAAGCAUGUUUUAUGUGUUGUUUGGAGUUCCUUUUGUCAUUUAUCAUUCAAUCUUUCCUUUUUUCCAAUUAAUUUGGAACAAGGGUAGCCAUUGCUACCUUCAUGCAAUUCACAUGUACUAAUUACUAUACAAAUCUCAUACUACUGAUUCCUCUG